rfam:Myotis lucifugus cont2.15180, whole genome shotgun sequence.
GCCAGUUUGGCUCAGUGGAUAGAGCAUUGGCCUGUGGACCCAAGGGUCCCGGGUUUGAUUCCUGUCAAGGGCA